GACGGAGGUGGCGAACGUUAUCCGGAAUCAUUGGGCGUAAAGGGUGCGUAGAUGGCAUGAUAAGUUAUUAGUGGGAAAUCGAGGCUCAACCUCGUGGAAGCUAGUAAUACUGUUUUGCUUGAGUACAGAAGAGGUUAACGGAACUCCAUGUGGAGCGGUAAAAUGCGUAGAUAUAUGGAAGAACACCAAUAACGGCGAAGGCAGUUAACUAUUCUGUUACUGACAUUGAGGCACGAAAGCGUGGGGAGCAAAACGG
rnacentral:rRNA from 1 species